CCUACGGGUGGCAGCAGUGAGGAAUAUUGGUCAAUGGACGCAAGUCUGAACCAGCCAUGCCGCGUGCAGGAAGACGGCUCUAUGAGUUGUAAACUGCUUUUGUACGAGGGUAAAAGCAGAUACGCGUAUCUGUCUGAAAGUAUAGUACGAAUAAGGAUCGGCUAACUCCGUGCCAGCAGCCGCGGUAAUACGGAGGAUGCGAGCGUUAUCCGGAUUUAUUGGGUUUAAAGGGUGCGCAGGCGGGAGAUCAAGUCAGCGGUAAAAGGUCGGGGCUCAACCCCGGCCGGCCGUUGAAACUGGUUUUCUAGAGUUGGAGAGAAGUAUGCGGAAUUCGUGGUGUAGCGGUGAAAUGCAUAGAUAUCACGAAGAACUCCGAUUGCGAAGGCAGCAGACCGGCUCCAUACUGACGCUGAGGCACGAAAGCGUGGGGAUCGAACAGGAUUAGAUACCCGUGUAGUC
rnacentral:rRNA from 1 species